rfam:Stegodyphus mimosarum contig51438, whole genome shotgun sequence.
AAAACAGCCCUUUUAAGGGCCACUCCUACUUUAUAAAAUUAGAAG